CCCUUAGAUGUGCUGGGCCGCACGCGGGAUACAAUGACCCGUUCAGAAAGUAUAACCUGACCCGGAAGGGAGUGGGUAAUCUUUUUAAUGCGGGUCGUGCUAGGGAUCGAUCUUUGCAAUUAUAGAUCUUGAACGAGGAAUACCUAGUAAGUGCAAGUCAUCAGCUUGUACUGAUUACGUCCCUGGUGUUUGUACUCACCGCCCGUCGCUCCUACCAAUUUCGAAUGAUCCGGCGAACCUUUUGGAUUGGGUGCAAGCCUAAGAAGUUAAGUAAACCUUAUCAUUUAGAGGAAGGAGAAGUCGUAACA
rnacentral:rRNA from 1 species